AAGGCGAGGCAGAAAUGCGUAGUCGAUGGGAAGCUGGUUAAUAUUCCAGCACCUCGCGUAAGUGCGAUGGAGGGACGGAGAAGGUUAGGUUGGCCGGGCGUUGGUUGUCCCGGUGAGAUGGUUGAGGCGGUUCCCUUUGGCAAAUCCGGGGGAGCAACGUUGAGACCAAGGACGAGUCCUUUUGGACUAAGCAACUGAUAUCACGCUUCCAGGAAAAGCUCCUAAGCUUCAGCUUACGCAGACCGUACCGUAAUCCGACACAGGUGGGCAGGAUGAGAAUUCUCAGGCGCUUGAGAGAACUUGGGUGAAGGAACUAGGCAAAAUAGUACCGUAACUUCGGGAGAAGGUACGCCCUCCAUGGUGAAUAGCUGAGGAGGGCCGCAGUGACCAGGCCGCUGCGACUGUUUAUCAAAAACACAGCACUCUGCAAACACGAAAGUGGACGUAUAGGGUGUGACGCCUGCCCGGUGCUGGAAGGUUAAUUGAUGGGGUCAGCCGCAAGGUGAAGCUCUUGAUCGAAGCCCCAGUAAACGGCGGCCGUAACUAUAACGGUCCUAAGGUAGCGAAAUUCCUUGUCGGGUAAGUUCCGACCUGCACGAAUGGCGUAACGACAGCGGCGCUGUCUCCACCCAAGACUCAGUGAAAUUGAAAUCGCUGUGAAGAUGCAGCGUUCCCGCGGCAAGACGGAAAGACCCCGUGAACCUUUACUAUAGCUUUACAUUGAACGUUGAGUUCGUCUGUGUAGGAUAGGUGGGAGCCUUUGAAGCGAUGGCGCUAGCUGUCGUGGAGGCAACCUUGAAAUACCACCCUGAUGUGCUUGACGUUCUAACCUGGGCCCGUAAUCCGGGUCGGGGACCAUGUAUGGUGGGUAGUUUGACUGGGGCGGUCUCCUCCUAAAGAGUAACGGAGGAGCACGAAGGUACGCUCAGCGCGGUCGGACAUCGCGCACUGUGUGCAAAGGCAUAAGCGUGCUUGACUGCAAGAUCGACGGAUCAAGCAGGUACGAAAGUAGGUCUUAGUGAUCCGGUGGUUCUGUAUGGAAGGGCCAUCGCUCAACGGAUAAAAGGUACUCCGGGGAUAACAGGCUGAUACCGCCCAAGAGUUCAUAUCGACGGCGGUGUUUGGCACCUCGAUGUCGGCUCAUCACAUCCUGGGGCUGUAGUCGGUCCCAAGGGUAUGGCUGUUCGCCAUUUAAAGUGGUACGCGAGCUGGGUUCAGAACGUCGUGAGACAGUUCGGUCCCUAUCUGUCGUGGGCGUUGGAGAUUUGAGAGGGGCUGCUCCUAGUACGAGAGGACCGGAGUGGACGAACCUCUGGUGUUCCGGUUGUCACGCCAGUGGCACUGCCGGGUAGCUACGUUCGGAAGCGAUAACCGCUGAAAGCAUCUAAGCGGGAAGCGCGCCUCAAGAUGAGAUCUCCCGGGGCACAAGCCCCCUAAAGGAACCAUCAAGACUAGGUGGUUGAUAGGCAGGGUGUGUAAGCGCAGCAAUGCGUUGAGCUAACCUGUACUAAUGAUCCGUGUGGCUUGACCAU
rnacentral:rRNA from 1 species